rnacentral:rRNA from 1 species
AGUGAACGCUGGCGGUAGGCCUAACACAUGCAAGUCGAACGGCAGCACAGUAAGAGCUUGCUCUUACGGGUGGCGAGUGGCGGACGGGUGAGGAAUACAUCGGAAUCUACUUUUUCGUGGGGGAUAACGUAGGGAAACUUACGCUAAUACCGCAUACGACCUACGGGUGAAAGCAGGGGAUCUUCGGACCUUGCGCGAUUGAAUGAGCCGAUGUCGGAUUAGCUAGUUGGCGGGGUAAAGGCCCACCAAGGCGACGAUCCGUAGCUGGUCUGAGAGGAUGAACAGACAGACUGGAACUGAGAAACGGUCCAGACUCCUACGGGAGGCAGCAGUGGGGAAUAUUGGACAAUGGGCGCAAGCCUGAUCCAGCCAUACCGCGUGGGUGAAGAAGGCCUUCGGGUUGUAAAGCCCUUUUGUUGGGAAAGAAAAGAAGCAGGUUAAUACCCCGCUGUUCUGACGGUACCCAAAGAAUAAGCACCGGCUAACUUCGUG